GUCGCACCUACCGAUUGAAUGGUCCGGUGAGGCCUCGGGAUUGUGGCCCCUGCCAUUAAUUUGGUGGAGGCCGCGAGAACUUGUCCAAACCUUAUCAUUUAGAGGAAGGUG
rnacentral:rRNA from 1 species